AAGCGGCGGCGCAGUAUUCUAGUCAGAUCUGCCGUUUCCGAGGGAGGACCUAAAAAGCCUUCAAAGGGCACACCUGUGAAACUUCUGGUGUCUGCUUGAGACGCCCAGUCUUGGGUGGAUGCUGGGAGGAAGCGCGUUUUUUGCGCUUGCGGACUCAGGGCGAUUUCCAAUGGCAUGGAUACCCCGACCCUGUUUCCGUGGAGACCUGUUCUUGUGCGUGGACGUACUCCCAUUGUGGUAAGCGGAUCCAUGUACGAAGCAGAUGAUGAACCUGCAAUGCGGUGCAUCGUGCCUUCGGGUGCGUAACGCUGUGUGCAGCCGUAGCCUGCCUUGCGUGAAGCUGGUGAAUGUGGGAUCAACACGGCGCCGUCCUGGCCGGGACUGGCGAUCGUGAUCGCCCGCUGAAACCUGUUUUGCAAAAGAGGCUAAAGAAACGGACAGACUGUGGUGGAAAACACCUAGGCUGUUCAUGGGAAGCGAAUCAGGGAUUGCAGUGCGGACUCAGUGGCAAUCGGGUAGCGCGAUCGGCGACGGCGCGCCUCGGAACUGAAAGGGGAACCGCCUCCAUCGGCAACGAGAGGUGUUCCGUGGGGAAAACAAACCCGCACCUAAGCCGCAAGAUUUACCUGGUUUGCUGCCGCUGACUU
rnacentral:sRNA from 1 species